GUUAAGUUGCAGGGUAUAGACCCGAAACCCGGUGAUCUAGCCAUGGGCAGGUUGAAGGUUGGGUAACACUAACUGGAGGACCGAACCGACUAAUGUUGAAAAAUUAGCGGAUGACCUGUGGCUGGGGGUGAAAGGCCAAUCAAACCGGGAGAUAGCUGGUUCUCCCCGAAAGCUAUUUAGGUAGCGCCUCGUGAAUUCAUCUCCGGGGGUAGAGCACUGUUUCGGCUAGGGGGCCAUCCCGGCUUACCAACCCGAUGCAAACUGCGAAUACCGGAGAAUGUUAUCACGGGAGACACACGGCGGGUGCUAACGUCCGUCGUGAAGAGGGAAACAACCCAGACCGCCAGCUAAGGUCCCAAAGUCAUGGUUAAGUGGGAAACGAUGUGGGAAGGCCCAGACAGCCAGGAUGUUGGCUUAGAAGCAGCCAUCAUUUAAAGAAAGCGUAAUAGCUCACUGGUCGAGUCGGCCUGCGCGGAAGAUGUAACGGGGCUAAACCAUGCACCGAAGCUGCGGCAGCGACACUGUGUGUUGUUGGGUAGGGGAGCGUUCUGUAAGCCUGUGAAGGUGUGUCGUGAGGCAUGCUGGAGGUAUCAGAAGUGCGAAUGCUGACAUAAGUAACGAUAAAGCGGGUGAAAAGCCCGCUCGCCGGAAGACCAAGGGUUCCUGUCCAACGUUAAUCGGGGCAGGGUGAGUCGACCCCUAAGGCGAGGCCGAAAGGCGUAGUCGAUGGGAAACGGGUUAAUAUUCCCGUACUUGGUGUUACUGCGAAGGGGGGACGGAGAAGGCUAUGUUGGCCGGGCGACGGUUGUCCCGGUUUAAGCGUGUAGGUGUGUGUUCCAGGUAAAUCCGGUUCACUUUAACACUGAGGCGUGACGACGAGGCACUACGGUGCUGAAGCAACAAAUGCCCUGCUUCCAGGAAAAGCCUCUAAGCAUCAGGUAACAUCAAAUCGUACCCCAAACCGACACAGGUGGUCAGGUAGAGAAUACCAAGGCGCUUGAGAGAACUCGGGUGAAGGAACUAGGCAAAAUGGUGCCGUAACUUCGGGAGAAGGCACGCUGACACGUAGGUGAAGUGAUUUACUCAUGGAGCUGAAGUCAGUCGAAGAUACCAGCUGGCUGCAACUGUUUAUUAAAAACACAGCACUGUGCAAACACGAAAGUGGACGUAUACGGUGUGACGCCUGCCCGGUGCCGGAAGGUUAAUUGAUGGGGUCAGCGCAAGCGAAGCUCCUGAUCGAAGCCCCGGUAAACGGCGGCCGUAACUAUAACGGUCCUAAGGUAGCGAAAUUCCUUGUCGGGUAAGUUCCGACCUGCACGAAUGGCGUAAUGAUGGCCAGGCUGUCUCCACCCGAGACUCAGUGAAAUUGAACUCGCUGUGAAGAUGCAGUGUACCCGCGGCAAGACGGAAAGACCCCGUGAACCUUUACUAUAGCUUGACACUGAACAUUGAGCCUUGAUGUGUAGGAUAGGUGGGAGGCUUUGAAGUGUGGACGCCAGUCUGCAUGGAGCCGACCUUGAAAUACCACCCUUUAAUGUUUGAUGUUCUAACGUGGACCCGUUACCCGGGUUGCGGACAGUGUCUGGUGGGUAGUUUGACUGGGGCGGUCUCCUCCUAAAGAGUAACGGAGGAGCACGAAGGUUGGCUAAUCCUGGUCGGACAUCAGGAGGUUAGUGCAAUGGCAUAAGCCAGCUUGACUGCGAGCGUGACGGCGCGAGCAGGUGCGAAAGCAGGUCAUAGUGAUCCGGUGGUUCUGAAUGGAAGGGCCAUCGCUCAACGGAUAAAAGGUACUCCGGGGAUAACAGGCUGAUACCGCCCAAGAGUUCAUAUCGACGGCGGUGUUUGGCACCUCGAUGUCGGCUCAUCACAUCCUGGGGCUGAAGUAGGUCCCAAGGGUAUGGCUGUUCGCCAUUUAAAGUGGUACGCGAGCUGGGUUUAGAACGUCGUGAGACAGUUCGGUCCCUAUCUGCCGUGGGCGCUGGAGAACUGAGGGGGGCUGCUCCUAGUACGAGAGGACCGGAGUGGACGCAUCACUGGUGUUCGGGUUGUCAUGCCAAUGGCACUGCCCGGUAGCUAAAUGCGGAAGAGAUAAGUGCUGAAAGCAUCUAAGCACGAAACUUGCCCCGA
rnacentral:rRNA from 3 species